rnacentral:tRNA from 1 species
GCCUUCAUAGUGUAGUGGUCAGCAUGCUUGAUGUAAACAGACAGGUCCGUGGUUCGAUUCCCGGCGAAGGCG